GGGUCGGCGACCACGCGGGCUGCCCGUCCAGCGCGGCCUCGCAGGCAGAGACACAGGGAGGCGCUCGCUGCACGGAGCUGGCGCACUUGCAGUGUGGCUGCAGAAACCCACAUUACCCCGGUGCCCACAUACGAGCGACGUUCAUGGUGUGCAUCACAUGGACACCAGCCGUGGUGAUAUGAAACAAGCCGUGGUGGACCUCGUCAGCUCAGAAAUCGCAACUAGAGUUUUGUGGCCACCAUAGAAGACAACAUGAGGGGUGGACAACUCGGCCUCUUCUGCCUGGUCUGCCUGCUGAUCCUGCUCAUCCUGCUCCUCCGCUUCUCUAAAAGGCUCCGGCAACAACUGGCGGUGGGCUACGUGCCGGCGGUGGUGUGGCCGGCGGGCGUGUGGCUGGUGCGCCGCCCCCCGGCCGCCGCCCACCAGCCGGCGCAGCUGCAGCUGGUGGCCGUCCACCCCCACCUCCGUCCCCAG